rnacentral:rRNA from 1 species
GACGAACGCUGGCGGCGUGCUUAACACAUGCAAGUCGAACGGGAGUAUCAAAGAAGCUUGCUUUUAAGAUACUUUGGUGGCGGACGGGUGAGUAACGCGUGAGGAGCUGUCCUAUGCAGUGGGACAACAGCUGGAAACGGCUGCUAAUACCCCAUAAGCCGAGAGGUAAAAGGAUUUAUCCGGCAAAGGAGGCACUCGCGUCCUAUCAGCUAGUAGGUUGGGUAACGGCCGACCUAGGCGAAGACGGGUAGCCGGCCUGAGAGGGCGAACGGCCACACUGGAACUGAGAUACGGUCCAGACUCCUACGGGAGGCUGCAGUGGGGAAUAUUGGGCAAUGGGGGCAACCCUGACCCAGCGACGCCGCGUGGGUGAAGAAAUCCUUCGGGAUGUAAAGCCCUGUUGUAUGGGAAGAGCAGAAGACGGUACCAUACGAGGAAGCCCCGGCAAACUACGUGCCAGCAGCCGCCGUAA